CCUACGGGCGGCUGCAGUGGGGAAUAUUGCACAAUGGGCGCAAGCCUGAUGCAGCCAUGCCGCGUGUGUGAAGAAGGCCUUCGGGUUGUAAAGCACUUUCAGCGGGGAGGAAGGCGUUAAGGUUAAUAACCUUGUCGAUUGACGUUACCCGCAGAAGAAGCACCGGCUAACUCCGUGCCAGCAGCCGCGGUAAUACGGAGGGUGCAAGCGUUAAUCGGAGUUACUGGGCGUAAAGCGCACGCAGGCGGUCUGUCAAGUCGGAUGUGAAAUCCCCGGGCUCAACCUGGGAACGGCAUUCGAAACUGGCAGGCUAGAGUCUUGUAGAGGGGGGUAGAAUUCCAGGUGUAGCGGUGAAAUGCGUAGAGAUCUGGAGGAAUACCGGUGGCGAAGGCGGCCCCCUGGACAAAGACUGACGCUGAGGCGCGAAAGCGUGGGGAGCGAACAGGAUUAGAUACCCCAGUAGUC
rnacentral:rRNA from 1 species